AAUGUCCCAGUAAGCUAGAACCAUGGCCAUUUUGGUUCAAUGUUCGGUGCCUUUCGUGUUUUAGGAGGAAGCAGCAGGAGCAAACAAAGCCCAAAUGUGUGUGCGAAGAGACACCGAGGAACGGAGGAUGAAAAGGUCAGAGAGGA